rnacentral:rRNA from 1 species
UAGGGAAUCUUCCACAAUGGGCGAAAGCCUGAUGGAGCAACGCCGCGUGUGUGAUGAAGGCUUCGGUCGUAAAGCACUGUUGUAUGGGAAGAACAGCUAGAAUAGGAAAUGAUUUUAGUUUGACGGUACCAUACCAGAAAGGGACGGCUAAAUACGUGCCAC